GAUGAACGCUGGCGGCGUGCCUAAUACAUGCAAGUCGAGCGAACGGACGAGAAGCUUGCUUCUCUGAUGUUAGCGGCGGACGGGUGAGUAACACGUGGAUAACCUACCUAUAAGACUGGGAUAACUUCGGGAAACCGGAGCUAAUACCGGAUAAUAUUUUGAACCGCAUGGUUCAAAAGUGAAAGACGGUCUUGCUGUCACUUAUCGAUGGAUCCGCGCUGCAUUAGCUAGUUGGUAAGGUAACGGCUUACCAAGGCAACGAUGCAUAGCCGACCUGAGAGGGGGAGCGGCCACACUGGAACUGAGACACGGUCCAGACUCCUACGGGAGGCAGCAGUAGGGAAUCUUCCGCAAUGGGCGAAAGCCUGACGGAGCAACGCCGCGUGAGUGAUGAAGGUCUUCGGAUCGUAAAACUCUGUUAUUAGGGAAGAACAUAUGUGUAAGUAACUGUGCACAUCUUGACGGUACCUAAUCAGAAAGCCACGGCUAACUACGUG
rnacentral:rRNA from 1 species